rnacentral:rRNA from 1 species
AUUGAACGCUGGCGGCAUGCCUUACACAUGCAAGUCGAACGGCAGCACGGGUGCUUGCACCUGGUGGCGAGUGGCGAACGGGUGGGUAGUACAUCGGAACGUACCUUAUCGUGGGGGAUAACGCAGCGAAAGUUGCGCUAAUACCGCAUACGCCCUGAGGGGGAAAGCGGGGGACCGUAAGGCCUCGCGCGAUUAGAGCGGCCGAUGUCUGACUAGCUUGUUGGUGAGGUAAAAGCUCACCAAGGCGAUGAUCAGUAGCUGGUCUGAGAGGACGAUCAGCCACACUGGGACUGAGACACGGCCCAGACUCCUACGGGAGGCAGCAGUGGGGAAUUUUGGACAAUGGGGGCAACCCUGAUCCAGCAAUGCCGCGUGAGUGAAGAAGGCCUUCGGGUUGUAAAGCUCUUUUGUCAGGGAAGAAACAGCAGCUCUAACACAGUCUGCGAAUGACGGUACCUGAAGAAUAAGCACCGGCUAACUACGUGCCAGCAGCCGCAGUAA